AUUGAACGCUGGCGGCAGGCCUAACACAUGCAAGUCGAGCGGAGCGGCGGACGGGUGAGUAAUGCCUAGGAAUCUGCCUGGUAGUGGGGGAUAAAGUCCGGAAACGGGCGCUAAUACCGCAUACUAUCAGAAUAGCCUAGGUCGGAUUAGCUAGUUGGUGGGGUAAAGGCCUACAAAGGCGACGAUCCGUAACUGGUCUGAGAGGAUGAUCAGUCACACUGGAACUGAGACACGGUCCAGACUCCUACGGGAGGCAGCAGUGGGGAAUAUUGGACAAUGGGCGAAAGCCUGAUCCAGCCAUGCCGCGUGUGUGAAGAAGGUCUUCGGAUUGUAAAGCACUUUAAGUUGGGAGGCGUUACCGACAGAAGAAGCACCGGCUAACUCCGUGCCAGCAGCCGCGGUAAUUC
rnacentral:rRNA from 1 species